rnacentral:rRNA from 1 species
UACGUAGGGGGCAAGCGUUGUCCGGAAUCAUUGGGCGUAAAGCGCGCGUAGGCGGCCAGAUAAGUCCGGUGUGAAAGUCACAGGCUCAACCUGUGAAUGCCGCUGGAAACUGUCUGGCUUGAGUCCGGAAGGGGCGAGUGGAAUUCCUGGUGUAGCGGUGAAAUGCGCAGAUAUCAGGAGGAACACCAGUGGCGAAGGCGGCACUCUGGGCCGGUACUGACGCUGAGGAGCGAAAGCGUGGGGAGCGAACAGG